rnacentral:rRNA from 1 species
AAGUAACUCUGCUUCGGGAGAGUAUUAUAGAUCCUGGGGGAUGCAGCCUGCGGGAUCGAGGAUUGCAGCAAAUGCCUUUGGCUUGUCGCCUGAUCUCUGGAUGUUACCUCGCUUGUGACAACAUUCUUGCCACCUGUGGGUACUAAUGCCCAUUAGGUUAGAGCGAUCAAAAAUUUUGCUAAGGAUGCUGACGUAAUGGCUUUAAACGACCCGUCUUGAAACACGGCUGUCUCUUAUACACAUCUCCGAGCCC